GAGACUCAAUCGGACGAGAAUGCUGCGUCCUGCUCUAACGACGUCAUUUCACGUUUGUUAGAGCAGAGCGCGGCAUUCUCGUACGAUUGUUUGAGUUUCAAAAUAGUUUCGUGGUACGGUCCCUACUCCCUGUUUUAUAC